rnacentral:rRNA from 1 species
GNAGGGGGCGAGCGNNAUCCGGACCUAUNGGGCGUAAAGCGUGUGUAGGCGGUNUAUCAAGNNUAAGAGNAAAGCCCGGGGCNCAACNCCGGUAAGNCUNAAAAACNGGUAGACUNGAGNACGGUAGAGGCAAACGGAAUNUCUAGUGUAGCGGUGAAAUGCGUAGAUAUUAGAAGGAACACCAGUGGCGAAAGCGGUUUGCUGGGCCGUNACUGACGCUGAGGCACGAAAGCGUGGGGAGCAAAUAGGAUUAGAUACCCUAGUAGUCCACGCCGUAAACGAUGAGUACUAAGUGUUGGGGUUACCCAGUGCUGAAGCUAACGUAUUAAGUACUCCGCCUGAGUAGU